rnacentral:lncRNA from 1 species
CAAUGGCUUUAAAUGGUGAAGCUUGGCAGAUGAUAAACGAGGGAACAAUUCGGCCAAAGCAGCCUUUAGACUAUCAUCUUUUGUUGUUGGCUCGCCUUCAGCAAUUGAUACAAAAUCCACAUGGCCGGGUUCCUCAGCAACCACAUCUCCAUCGAGGAAAUUUGGUUGAGCCGUGCUUGAUUGAAAAUCAGCAGGUAACACAUGAACCAUAUUGAUUUCCAUAUUAUCCAAGACUGACGGGCCCAACUGGUCAAGACCUUCCUCGUUCGGUUGGUCAGCGACUACG